rnacentral:rRNA from 1 species
UCCCCUCGCGGCUGCGCCGCGACCGAGACCUUGAUCUUCUGAAAGGGUUCGAGUGAGAGCCAUACUGUCGGGACCCGAAAGAUGGUGAACUAUGCCUGAGCGGGGCGAAGCCAGAGAACUCUGGUGGAGGCCCGAAGGAUACUUUGACGUGCAAACGUUUCGGUCAUGACUUGGGUAUUAGGGCGAAAGACUAACUCGAACGUCUAGUAGCUGGUUUCCCUCCGAAGUUUCCCUCAGGAUAAGCUGGAGCUGGUGGAAGAUUUAUGGGUAAAGCCAAUGAUUAGAGGCAUCGGUGGGGCGCAACGCCUCAACCUUUCAUAAACUUUAAAUAGGUAGGACGUCGCGGCUGCUUCGUGAGCCGCGACACGGAAUCGAGAGCUCAAGUGGGACAUUUUGGUAAGCAGAACUGGCGAUGCGGGAUGGAGAGAGGAAGCCGGGAUUACGGCGCCGGACUGCGCGCUAACCUGAUCCCACAAAGGGUGUUGGUCGAUUAAGACACAGGACGGUGGUCAUGGAAGCGAUAAUCCGCUAAGGAGUGUGUAACAACUCACCUGCCGAAUCAACUAGCCCGAAAUGGAUGGCGCUUAAACCCCCCUACCCCGGCCGUCGCGGCAAGUGCCAGGCCCCGAUGAGUAGAGAGGGCCGCGGCGGUCGCCGCAAAGCUGUGGCGCGAGCCAGGGGCGGAGCUCCGUCGGUGCAGAUCUUGGUGGUAAUAGCAAAUAUUCAAGUGAGAACUUUGAAGCCGAAGAGGGGAAAGGUUCCAUGUGAACGGCACUUGCACAUGGUUAGUCGAUCUAGAGACGGGGAAGCCCGUCCGACAGCGGCGCCAGCGCGAGCUUCGAAAGGGAAUCGGGUUAACAUUCCUGACCGGGGACGUGGCGGCUGACGGCAACGUUUAGGGAGUCCGAGACGUCGCGGGGGCCUCGGGAAAGAGUUAUCUUUUCUGUUUAUAUAUCAACCCUGGAAAGCCGCAUCCGCCGGAGGUAGGGUCAGCGGCCGGAAGAGCACCGCACGUCGCGUGGUGUCCGGUGCGCCCGACCGGCGGUCCCUUGAAAAUCCGGAGGACCGAGUGCCCGACCACGCCGGUCAGGUACUCAUAACGCAUUCGGGUCUCAGGAGACACGCCGGUCGAUGGACACAAUGUCAGGCAAGGGAAGGUCGGCAAAAUGGAUCCGUAACUUCGGAAAAAGGGCUGGCUCUUGAGUGGCUGGGCACGGGGGUCCCAGUCCCGAACCCGUCGGGCAGGUCCGUGGACUGCUCAGCUGCCGGCGCGAGAGCGGGUCGCCGCGUGCCGGCCGGGGACGGACUGGGAACGGCCCCUCGGGGCCUUUCGCCGUCGGGCGUCGAACAGCCGACUCAGAACUGGGUACGGGCGGGGAAUCCGACUGUUUAAUUAAAACAAAGCAUUGCGAUGGUCCCUGAGGAUGCUAACGCAAUGUGAUUCUGCCCAGUGCUCUGAAUCAAGAUGAAGAAAUUCAACCAAGCGCGGGUUAAACGUGGGAGUAACUAUGACUCUCUUAUGGUAGCACAGGUCUUCAAAAUAUUAUGACGCGCAUUAAUGGGAUUAACGAGAUCCCAACUGUCCCUGUCUACUAUCCACGAAACCACAGCUGGGAACGGGCUUGGCAGAAUCAGCGGAGGAAAGAAGACCGCUGUUGAGCUUGACUCUAGUCCGACUGUUGUGAAAUGACUUGAGAGGUCGUAGGAUAAGUGGGAGCUCGGGCAAAAGUGAAAUACCACUACUUUUAAGCGUUAUUUUACUUCUCCGCUGAGUCGAGGCGGGGCAGGCCCCUCUUUUUAUGGACCCAAGGCCCGCCCCAGCGGGCCGAUCCGAUCCGAAUCCGCGACGGAACCGGGCCCAGUCCCUGGUGGAAGAGGGGGCGCCAGAGAGGGUGAGAGGCCCCGUCGGCCCGGACCUGUCGCACUACGAGGCGCAGUCGAGCGAGCUCGUUGUAUUUGCGGAAUGGCAGUCCCAAGCGGGCGGUAAAUUCCGUCCAAGGCUAAAGUAACCGGCGAGAAGAGACCGAUAGAGCGAAACAAGUCCGCGGCGGGGAAAGACAAAAGA